rnacentral:rRNA from 1 species
UACGAAGGGGGCUAGCGUUGCUCGGAAUGACUGGGCGUAAAGGGCGCGUAGGCGGCUUGCACCGUCAGAUGUGAAAUUCCUGGGCUUAACCUGGGGGCUGCAUUUGAUACGUAUGGACUGGAGUGGGGAAGAGGGUCGUGGAAUUCCCAGUGUAGAGGUGAAAUUCGUAGAUAUUGGGAAGAACACCGGUGGCGAAGGCGGCGACCUGGUCCUUGACUGACGCUGAGGCGCGAAAGCGUGGGGAGCAAACAGG